AUAAAGGUGUUCUCAACUAGCCUACCUGGUUAAAUAAAGGUGUUCUCAACUAGCCUACCUGGUUAAAUAAAGGUGUUCUCAACUAGCCUACCUGGUUAAAUAAAGGUGAUCUCAACUAGCCUACCUGGUUAAAUAAAGGUGAUCUCAACUAGCCUACCUGGUUAAAUAAAGGUGAUCUCAACUAGCCUACCUGGUUAAAUAAAGGUGAUCUCAACUAGCCUACCUGGUUAAAUAAAGGUGAUCUCAACUAGCCUACCUGGUUAAAUAAAGGUGAUCUCAACUAGCCUACCUGGUUAAAUAAAGGUGUUCUCAACUAGCCUACCUGGUUAAAUAAAGGUG